AACGAACGCUGGCGGCAUGCCUAACACAUGCAAGUCGAACGAGACCUUCGGGUCUAGUGGCGCACGGGUGCGUAACGCGUGGGAACCUGCCCUUAGGUUCGGAAUAACUCCCCGAAAGGGGUGCUAAUACCGGAUAAUGUCUUCGGACCAAAGAUUUAUCGCCUUUGGAUGGGCCCGCGUUGGAUUAGCUAGUUGGUAGGGUAAAAGCCUACCAAGGCGACGAUCCAUAGCUGGUCUGAGAGGAUGAUCAGCCACACUGGGACUGAGACACGGCCCAGACUCCUACGGGAUGCAGCAGUAGGGAAUAUUGGACAAUGGGCGAAAGCCUGAGCCAGCAAUGCCGCGUGAGUGAUGAAGGCCUUAGGGUUGUAAAGCUCUUUUAACCGGGAUGAUAAUGACAGUACCGGGAGAAUAAGCUCCGGCUAACUCCGUG
rnacentral:rRNA from 1 species